GAGAGCUAUUGUUACGGGAUGAUUAUAGAUGCAGCAGAAGUAGAUGAGAUUACCCAGAGAUUUCUUUUGUUCCCAACCUGUUUUCUGAACCAUCAUAGAAAGAUUAUGCUGUAUUGGGAGGCUGCUCUAUGAAAAGCCUUGGACUUCAUCUGAAGACUUGGUUCAAAUCCCAGUUCUGGAUCUCUGUUUCUCCUUCAUCAAUAGAAGACUUAAUUAAUGCUAGACAUUUGGGAUUUUGGAAGCAGAGAAGAUGGAAACUUAGCCAAUUUUUUUAAAAUGCUUUUUGUUUUACAAAAAAAGAGAAGAAAGCCCAUAAGAAAACUGCAGAAA